CGCCCCGGGACCUUUUUGGCUCCUCCAGCCUCGAGUUCCAGGUGAGAUUUUGGGGAAUUUUGGGGAUUUUUUGGGAUUAUCCCAAAUAUUUUGGGGUUUUCCUUCCUCUCUUCUCUUUCCAGACUUUCUGAAGACGAAAUUCCGAAUUUCCCUCCGAGGUUUUUCCCGUUUUUUGGCGUUUUCACCCCAAAAUUCCCGUUUUUAUCCCAGUUCAAACCCCAAAUUUGAGCUUUUUUUGGGAAUUUUGGGAUUUAUUCCGAAUAUUUUGGGGUUCCCGCCCCCUUUAUCUCCUCCAGGUUUUCCCAGGCUGGAAUUCCCAAUUUCCCGCCUCAGUUUUUUCCCAUUUUUUGAGGUUUUCACCCGAAAAUUCAGUUAAAAAAUGAGCGUUUUUGGAGGUUUUGGGGGAAUUUUUGGGAUUUCUCCCAAAUUUUUGGGGCUCCGCAGCCCUUUCCCUCAUUUCGGAUUUUCUGGGAAUGGAAUUCCCAAAUUCCCACCCGGUUUUUUCCCCUUUUUUGCCGUUUUCACCCCAAAAUUCCCCCAAUAAAAACUGCAGCAACUCCUUCGUUCUGGGCUGUUUAUUUGGGAAUUUCCUGGGAAUUUCUCGGGAAUUCUCAGAGCCUCAUCUCGCAGUCAUGGCCGUGGGAUGUCUCCGGAAUUCCGGGAAUUCUCUGGAAUUCUCACAAUCUCAUCUUGUAGUCGCGGCCAUGGGAUGUCUCUGGAGCUCCGGAAUUCCGGGAUUUUUGGGAUUUUCUCUGGAAUUCUCACAGUCUCAUCUCGUAGUGGCGGCCGUGGGAUGUCUCCGGAAUUCCGGGAAUUCCCGGGAAUUCUCUGGAAUUGUCAGAGCCUCAUCUCACAGUCACGGCCGUGGGAUGUCUCCGGAGCUCCGGAAUUCCAGGAAUUCUCUGGAAUUCUCAGAGCCUCAUCUCGUAGUCGCAGCUGUGGGAUGUCUCCGGAAUUCCGGGAUUUUUGGGAUUUUCUCUGGAAUUCUCAGAGCCUCAUCUCGUAGUCGCGGCCGUGGCUCAGGUGCCGCAGCCAGCGCUGCGCCGCCGCCCCCGAGAGCCGCAGGAGCCGCACGCGGAGCCCGGAGCACGACACGCCGGGCAGCUCGAAGGAGGCGCGGGCGGGACCCAGCUCCAGCCGCCACGCCCGGCCCAGCGAUGACAGAUCCAGCUGGGAAUGUUCCGGAAUGUUCCGGGGGUUUUUGGGAUUUUUUGGGAUUUUUUACGGGCUGUUUCGGGGGUUUUUGGGGCUGGUUU
rnacentral:lncRNA from 1 species